CGGUGGAUGCCUAGGCAGUCAGAGGCGAUGAAGGGCGUGCUAAUCUGCGAAAAGCGUCGGUAAGGUGAUAUGAACCGUUAUAACCGGCGAUACCCGAAUGGGGAAACCCAGUGUGUUUCGACACACUAUCAUGUCAUGAAUACAUAGUGGCAUGAGGCGAACCGGGGGAACUGAAACAUCUAAGUACCCCGAGGAAAAGAAAUCAACCGAGAUUCCCCCAGUAGCGGCGAGCGAACGGGGAGGAGCCCAGAACCUGAAUCGGCUUGUGUGUUAGUGGAAGCGUCUGGAAAGUCGCGCAGCAAAGGGUGAUAGCCCCGUACACUAAAAUGCACAGGUCGUGAGUUCGAUGAGUAGGGCGGGACACGUGACAUCCUGUCUGAAUAUGGGGGGACCAUCCUCCAAGGCUAAAUACUCCUGACUGACCGAUAGUGAACCAGUACCGUGAGGGAAAGGCGAAAAGAACCCCGGCGAGGGGAGUGAAAUAGAACCUGAAACCGUGUACGUACAAGCAGUGGGAGCACCUUCGUGGUGUGACUGCGUACCUUUUGUAUAAUGGGUCAGCGACUUAUAUUUUGUAGCAAGGUUAACCGUAUAGGGGAGCCGUAGGGAAACCGAGUCUUAACUGGGCGAAUAGUUGCAAGGUAUAGACCCGAAACCCGGUGAUCUAGCCAUGGGCAGGUUGAAGGUUGGGUAACACUAACUGGAGGACCGAACCGACUAAUGUUGAAAAAUUAGCGGAUGACUUGUGGCUGGGGGUGAAAGGCCAAUCAAACCGGGAGAUAGCUGGUUCUCCCCGAAAGCUAUUUAGGUAGCGCCUCGUGAACUCAUCUUCGGGGGUAGAGCACUGUUUCGGCUAGGGGGCCAUCCCGGCUUACCAAACCGAUGCAAACUCCGAAUACCGAAGAAUGUUAUCACGGGAGACACACGGCGGGUGCUAACGUCCGUCGUGAAGAGGGAAACAACCCAGACCGCCAGCUAAGGUCCCAAAGUCAUGGUUAAGUGGGAAACGAUG
rnacentral:rRNA from 1 species